rnacentral:lncRNA from 1 species
AUGAUAACAAAAAGUUCUUUUGGUUGCACUGUGCUUCUUUUUAAAAGAUUGUCUUUUCCAAUCUUGUGCAUAACUUUUCAAAUCUGGCCAUUAAAACACCUUUUUAUACCACUGAGAACUUUGUCUGAAUUUGUUGUUCGGAUGAAUUUAGGAUCAAUUUCAGGAAGCUUUAGGUAUGGGAAGGAAUACUAUUUUUUCAAGAACUUAAGAACAGUAUUUACAAAGUUAUUUAAAUAUAAGCUGUAGAAAAGGUUCACUCUGACCCUGGAAAUGAAAUGAAGAAAAUCCUGGAAAGGAUAUGAUACACACUUCCAUUUCAAAAAUACAAAGAAGAUAGUAACUACUGUUGGACGUUAGGACUUAAAUAUUCUGUCCCAAAUCUGUAAAAGCUAUGAGUUGCAACAGAAGGGAAUUCAGUGGUUUCCCUGCAAACUGUUCAAAGGAUGCAACCUUGAGGGACCAAGGCCAAUUCCAGCUCUGCAAAAGAUAAGGAAUUGAUGAAGUGUCAAGAAGAGAAAAGAAAACAGAACACGAGGAUCAUUGUGCACUUCCAAGGAGCUCUGUACAGAGGGCUUUUCUCCCCUCUCCUCCUCUGUUAGCUUUUAUGAUUAUUUUAAGACGGGCUGAGAUUGUGAUGUUUUUAUACUUUAUUGUAGAAUAUGUUCUUUGAACAGAAAGGAACCUUCAGGAUCCCUUCUGUCAUAUGCAUGUCAGAAAAUGGAGCUCAGAGCCUAGGCUAGGGUGAAUUGGAAUUAAAUCCAGGUUUCCUGACUUUACAUCAACUCCCUUGCCCA